GAGUUUGAUUGGCUCAGAUUGAACGCUGGCAGGAUCUUUACACAUGCAAGUCAGACGGCAGCACGGACUUCAGUCUGGUGGCGAGUGGCAGUGGUGAGUAAUAUCGGAACGUGCCUAGUAGCGGGGGAUAACUACGCGAAAGCGUAGCUAAUACCGCAUACCAUCGGGGAAAGCAGGGGACCUUCCGGGCCUCGCACUAUUAGGCAGCCGAUAUCAGUUGGCUAGUUGGUGGGGUAACGGCUCACAAGGCGACGAUCCGUAGCUGGUUUGAGAGGACGACCAGCCACACCGCAGGACGGGGCUAGCCCCCAGACUCCCUGCGGAGGCAGCGGUGGGGAAUUUUGGACAAUGGGGGAAACCCUGAUCCCAGCCAUCCCGCGUGUGCGAUGAAGGCCUUCGGGUUGUAAACACUUUUGGCAGGAAAACAACACGGGAUGCGCUACCCGUGCAACUGACGGUAACCUGCAGAAUAGCGCAAUACUUACGUGCAACAGCCGCGGUAAUACGUGCAGUGCAAACGUUAAUCGGAAUUACUGGGCGUAAAGCGUGCACAGGCGGUUCGGAAGAAGAUGUGAAAUCAGAAGCAACUUUGGAACUGCAUUUUUAACUACCGAGCUAGAAAUUGUCAGAGUGCGAUUCCGCGAUGUAGCAGUGAAAUGCGUAGAUAUGCGGAGGAACACCGUGGCGAAGGCAGCCUCCUGGGAUAACACUGACGCUCAUUUGGCGUGGGGAGCAAACAGGAUUAGAUACCCUGGUAGUCCGCCUAACUGAUAUCAACUAGCUGUUGGGGCCUUCAGCCUUGGUAGCGCAAUAACGCGUGGGGAAGUUGACCGCCUGGGAAGUACGGUCGCAAGAUUAAAACUCAAAGGAAUUGACAGGGACCCGCACAAGCGGUGGAUGAUGUGGAUUAAUUCGAUGCAACGCGAAAAACCUUACUACCCUUGACAUGUCAGAAUCCAAAGAGAGAUUUGGGAGUGCUCGCAAGAGAGCCGGAACACAGGUGCUGCAUGGCUGUCGUCAGCUCGUAUCGUGAGAUGUUGGGUUAAGUCCCGCAACGAGCGCAACCCUUGUCAUUGAAUUUCUUCCCGAAAGGGCACUCCUAAUGAGACUGCCGGUGACAAGCCGGAGAGAGGUGAGGAUGACGUAAAGUCUCAUGGCCCCAUAUGGUACGGGCUUGCGUCAUACAAUGCGUUGGGACGAAGGUGUAGCCGCGAGGGAGCCAAUCCCAGAAACCCGAUCGUAGUCCGGAUCGCAGUCUACUCGACUGCGUGAUCAGAAUCGCUAGUAAUCGCGGAUCAGCAUGCUCGCGGUGGAUACGUUCGGGUCAUGCUGCUGUCUUACCGCGGGUGGUUUUCAGAGAAAACUGCCUGUUCCGUGGUGACCGGCGGAUAGCAUUCGCGUUGAAGAUGU
rnacentral:rRNA from 1 species